rnacentral:snRNA from 1 species
GUGCUGGCUUCCAGAGCACAUAUGCCAAAAUUGGAACCAUGUAGAGAAGAUUAGCAUGGCCCCUGGGCAAGGAUGACAUGCAAAUUUGUUUUU